GAUGAACGCUGGCGGCGUGCUUAAUACAUGCAAGUCGAGCGAACAGACGAGGAGCUUGCUCCUCUGACGUUAGCGGCGGACGAGUGAGUAACACGUGGAUAACCUACCUAUAAGACUGGGAUAACUUCGGGAAACCGGAGCUAAUACCGGAUAAUAUAUUGAACCGCAUGGUUCAAUAGUGAAAGACGGUUUUGCUGUCACUUAUGGAUGGAUCCGCGCCGCAUUAGCUAGUUGGUAAGGUAAUGGCUUACCAAGGCAACGAUGCGUAGCCGACCUGAGAGGGGGGUCGGCCGCCCUGGAACUGAGACACCGUCCAGACGCCUACGAGAGGAAGCAGUAGGGAAUAUUCCGCAAUGGGCGAAAGCUUGACGGAGCAACGCCGCGUGAGGGAUGAAGGUCUUCUGAUCGUAGAGCUCUGUUAUUGGGGGAGAACAAGUGUUUAAGUAACUAUGCACGUCUUGACGGUACCUGAUCAGAAAGCCACGGCUAACUACGUG
rnacentral:rRNA from 1 species